rnacentral:rRNA from 1 species
AUUGAACGCUGGCGGCAUGCCUUACACAUGCAAGUCGAACGGUAACAGGUUAAGCUGACGAGUGGCGAACGGGUGGGUAAUGUAUCGGAACGUGCCCAGUCGUGGGGGAUAACUGCUCGAAAGAGCAGCUAAUACCGCAUACGACCUGAGGGUGAAAGCAGGGGAUCGCAAGACCUCGCGCGAUUGGAGCGGCCGAUAUCAGAUUAGGUAGUUGGUGAGGUAAAGGCUCACCAAGCCGACGAUCUGUAGCUGGUCUGAGAGGACGACCAGCCACACUGGGACUGAGACACGGCCCAGACUCCUACGGGAGGCAGCAGUGGGGAAUUUUGGACAAUGGGCGCAAGCCUGAUCCAGCCAUGCCGCGUGCGGGAAGAAGGCCUUCGGGUUGUAAACCGCUUUUGUCAGGGAAGAAAAGGUUCUGGCUAAUACCUGGGACUCAUGACGGUACCUGAAGAAUAAGCACCGGCUAACUACGUG